GAUGAACGCUGGCGGCGUGCCUAAUACAUGCAAGUCGAGCGAACAGAUAAGGAGCUUGCUCCUUUGACGUUAGCGGCGGACGGGUGAGUAACACGUGGAUAACCUACCUAUAAGACUGGGAUAACUUCGGGAAACCGGAGCUAAUACCGGAUAACAUAUUGAACCGCAUGGUUCAAUAGUGAAAGGCGGCUUUGCUGUCACUUAUAGAUGGAUCCGCGCCGUAUUAGCUAGUUGGUAAGGUAACGGCUUACCAAGGCAACGAUACGUAGCCGACCUGAGAGGGUGAUCGGCCACACUGGAACUGAGACACGGUCCAGACUCCUACGGGAGGCAGCAGUAGGGAAUCUUCCGCAAUGGGCGAAAGCCUGACGGAGCAACGCCGCGUGAGUGAUGAAGGUCUUCGGAUCGUAAAACUCUGUUAUCAGGGAAGAACAAAUGUGUAAGUAACUGUACACAUCUUGACGGUACCUGAUCAGAAAGCCACGGCUAACUACGUG
rnacentral:rRNA from 1 species